GAUGAACGCUGGCGGCGUGCCUAAUACAUGCAAGUCGAGCGAAUGGAUUGAGAGCUUGUUCUUAUGAAGUUAGCGGCGGACGGGUGAGUAACACGUGGGUAACCUGCCCAUAAGACUGGGAUAACUCCGGGAAACCGGGGCUAACACCGGAUAACAUUUUGAACCGCAUGGUUCGAAAUUGAAAGGCGGCUUCGGCUGUCACUUAUGGAUGGACCCGCGUCGCAUUAGCUAGUUGGUGAGGUAACGGCUCACCAAGGCAACGAUGCGUAGCCGACCUGAGAGGGUGAGCGGCCAAACUGGGACUGAGACACGGCCCAGACUCCUACGGGAGGCAGCAGUAGGGAAUCUUCCGCAAUGGACGAAAGUCUGACGGAGCAACGCCGCGUGAGUGAUGAAGGCUUUCGGGUCGUAAAACUCUGUUGUUAGGGAAGAACAAGUGCUAGUUGAAUAAGCUGGCACCUUGACGGUACCUAACCAGAAAGCCACGGCUAACUACGUGCCAGCCGCCGCCGUAA
rnacentral:rRNA from 1 species